rnacentral:rRNA from 2 species
GAGACCCACGCCAACAGUUGCCAGCUCGUCCUCCGGGAUGGUGGGGACACUGUUGGGACCGCCUCUGCUAAAGAGGAGGAAGGAAUGGGCAACGGUAGGUCAGCAUGCCCCGAAUUAUCCGGGCUACACGCGGGCUACAAUGGGUGGGACAAUGGGUAUCGACACCGAAAGGUGAAGGCAAUCUCCUAAACCCAUCCUUAGUUCGGAUUGUGGGCUGCAACUCGCCCACAUGAAGCUGGAAUCUGUAGUAAUCGUGUCUCAACAUGGCACGGUGAAUAU